UACGGAGGGUGCGAGCGUUGUCCGGAAUCACUGGGCGUAAAGGGCGCGUAGGCGGCGCGAGCAGUCGGCGGUGAAAGCCCGGAGCUCAACUCCGGGUCGGCCGUCGAUACUCUCGUGCUUGAGCACUGUAGAGGCAGGUGGAAUUCCGGGUGUAGCGGUGGAAUGCGUAGAGAUCCGGAAGAACACCGGUGGCGAAGGCGGCCUGCUGGGCAGUAGCUGACGCUGAGGCGCGACAGCGUGGGGAGCAAACAGG
rnacentral:rRNA from 1 species